rnacentral:rRNA from 1 species
UACGGAGGGUGCAAGCGUUUAUCCGGAUUCACUGGGUUUAAAGGGUGCGUAGGUGGGUUGGUAAGUCAGUGGUGAAAUCUCCGUGCUUAACAUGGAAACUGCCAUUGAUACUACUGAUCUUGAAUUUUCGGGAGGUAAGCGGAAUAUGUCAUGUAGCGGUGAAAUGCUUAGAUAUGACAUAGAACACCAAUUGCGAAGGCAGCUUACUACAGGAAUAUUGACACUGAUGCACGAAAGCGUGGGGAUCAAACAGG